rnacentral:tRNA from 1 species
ACCCUUGUAGCUCAGAUGGUAGAGCAGCCCGCUGAUAAUGGGUGUGCCGCCGGUUCGAUUCCGGCCAAGGGAGA